rnacentral:rRNA from 1 species
UUCGGGGGGGGCAAGCGUUGUUCGGAAUUACUGGGCGUAAAGGGCUCGUAGGCGGCCAACUAAGUCAGACGUGAAAUCCCUCGGCUUAACCGGGGAACUGCGUCUGAUACUGGAUGGCUUGAAUCCGGGAGAGGGAUGCGGAAUUCCAGGUGUAGCGGUGAAAUGCGUAGAUAUCUGGAGGAACACCGGUGGCGAAGGCGGCAUCCUGGACCGAGAUUGACGCUGAGGCGCGAAAGCCAGGGGAGCAAACGGG